GAGGGACGAGAAGCUGGAGCGGAAGCCUACUAGAGGAGAAGGCCAAAAUUGGAUUCAGGUGAGCCUUAUUUUGGUUGGUCGAAAUCACCCAAGUGAGCGGAACUGGAGUGGAAGACCCAGAUUGAGACAAGCAGCACCGGAACAGGGGGCCGAGAUCAAAAAGGUCAACAUAAGGGUCGGGACGCCUAGAACAUGAUUCUAUCCAGAUCACAUUUGACCAUGAUCCAUUGCGAAGGGGAUAAAGUUUUAUCCCCUUCAAGGCACCUAGAACCCUUCCAGGCGCCCCAAGCAAGGCUAUAAAUAUAACCUUAGUUCAAAAAGCUAAUAACAACAAUCAAUUGUAUUUACAACACUUGUGCGCUUCCCUUUGUUAAUUUAGCUUCAUCUUUCUAUGCUUUCACUGCUGUAAAAGGUUUCUUCGUCUGAAAGAGUAUUUAGUGCACUUCACUUCCUUGGAUUAACAACCUCCCCGGUUGUAACCAAGACUAUUCAACCCCUCUUCUAGCCGGUCCAACGGUCCCAAUAGUUGCUGCAUUUCAUUUCCAAGCUAUCAAAUUAAGAUAUGACAUUAGCAAGUUCAUCUAUCUUUGGAAUUGGAACUAAAAUUAUAUUUGAAUUAAUUUUAGGUAUGCUGAUCGGAUUCGUCACAAAACAUCAUUAGGAGAAGUUUCGAAUGAAGUGGUUUUCAAGUUGCCAGGAGUAUCUCAACAGUUGAGGUUAUGGAUCUACCAGGGGUCAUUGAGGGUACAAAGGAUGGCAAGGGUAGACGAAGGCAGGUUUUCGUUUGAGCUGUAAUUGAUGCAUAAGGAAUUCAACCGGAUGGAGCCCAGUGUGUUUAUUAUAUAAGAGAUACAAUUGAAGGCGCCGUAUCCAUUGAUAAGGCUUCGCUGCAUCCAAUAGUAAUGCAUCGAAAGGGUCAUGGACUCGAUCAAAUCAGAUUGUAUUUGGGCUCAAAUCAAGGGCUUAACGAGGCGAUCAAACCUUAGAGCAUUAUGGACCGUCCAUUGAAGAUCAAGAAGAUUUGAUCCAUCCGUUGAAGAUCCGGCUCAUCCAACCUAAUGAGGAGUACAUCUGGACCAUAGAUGAAGAUCAGUACAUUUUGAUCCAGAUCUGAGAUAUUUUCCACCGUUGAUCAAGAUCCGAUGAUUCCGAGCCAUCCGAUCAAAUUGACCAGUGAGCUCGGUUUGCGAUUUUGUGCUACAGUGCCUUCGUUUUCUCCGCGUGACGCCGACGCUCCCAUUCCCGAUUCCAGAUCUGAGGGCAAGCUUCUUCACCGACGGCGAUCUCCGGGCUGCCGGCGUCCAUCUUCCGGUGAUUAGAGAGUGUUAUAGGGAGGUUUCUCGGCGCGCCUUGGUUUUGUUCCACCGCCGCGAUCUUGUGCAAGGGAGGUUUCUUGUUCAACGAUUUUCACAGUCAACAAAGCUUGAAGGGAGGUUUCUGAGAGCUCUGAUCAUCUUUCUGAUCAUCAUUCCAUAGCAAGCUAGCUCGAUCUGAUCAAUCGGAUUGGUUUGCGAAUUAACAGAUCCAUGCUCUGUUUUCUUUGGUCGAUGGGAUUACCAGAUGGAGUGAGCUUGAGGGGAGGUUUCCAAGAGCUGUGAGCGAAGCCUGGUAAUAGUUGGGAGCUAGAGAGUAGUAAUUGGAUGCUUGAUGGGAGGUUUC